rfam:Brachypodium distachyon strain Bd21 chromosome 4, whole genome shotgun sequence.
AAGUUACUCCGUCUGUCUAACAAAAGAUGUCUCAAGUUUGUCAAAAUUUGUAUGUACCUAAACAUGAAUUAGUGUAUAGAUGCAUUCAAAUUUAGUCAAAGUUGAGAUAUCCUUUGUUGGACGGAAGGAGUACAAU